UACCAGCACCCCGAGUGGUCGGGACGAUUAUUGGGCCUAAAGCAUCCGUAGCCGGCCUUACAAGUCCUCCGUUAAAUCCAGCUGCUUAACAGAUGGGCUGCGGAGGAUACUAUAAGACCAGGAGGCAGGAGAGGCAAGCGGUACUCAGUGGGUAGGGGUAAAAUCCGUUGAUCCAUUGAAGACCACCAGUGGCGAAGGCGGCUUGCCAGAAUGCGCUCGACGGUGAGGGAUGAAAGCUGGGGGAGCAAACCGG
rnacentral:rRNA from 1 species